rnacentral:RNase_P_RNA from 2 species
AGAGUUAGCUGAACAAUCGCGUGGUAUCAUAUCGAAAGAUCAUACCAUGAGGAAAGUCCGGGCUCCGCAGGGCAGGAUAGCGGAUAACCUCCGCCAAGGGCGACCUUAGGGAAAGUGCAACAGAAAUAAACCGCCAUAAAAUAUAUGCUUGCAUAUAUUUUAUCGGUAAGGAUGGAAAGGUGAGGUAAGAGCUUACCGCCGCACUGGCAACUUUGCGGGUCCAUGUAAACCCUAUCCGGAGCAACACCGCAAAAAGGUGCAAUUGUUUGCCCGACAGCACCUGAAGGUGGCAGGAGGUGUGCGGCAACGCAUACCCAAGAUAGAUGAUUGUUCCCGACAAAACCCGGCUUAUAGGCUAAGUUGAUUA